CCUACGGGAGGCUGCAGUGGGGAAUAUUGCACAAUGGGGGAAACCCUGAUGCAGCGACGCCGCGUGAGGGAAGAAGGAAUUAGUUAUGUAAAGCUCUAUCAGCAGGGAAGAAAAGGACGGUACGUGAGUAAGAAGCAGCGGAUAACUACGUGCAAGAAGCCGCGUUAAUACGUAGGGGGCAAGCGUUAUACGGAUUUACUGGGUGUAAAGGGAGCGUAGACGGUUAAGUCGGUCUGGAGUGAAAGGCCGGGUCCCAACCCCGGGACUGCUCUGGAAACUAUUGAACUUGAGUGCAGGAGAGGUAAGCGGAAUUCCUAGUGUAGCGGUGAAAUGCGUAGAUAUUAGGCGGAACACCAGUGGCGAAGGCGGCUUACUGGACUGUAACUGACGUUGAGGCUCGAAAGCGUGGGGAGCAAACAGGAUUAGAUACCCGAGUAGUC
rnacentral:rRNA from 1 species